rnacentral:sRNA from 1 species
GUUCCCUAGCUAGGGUGCCAGGUGGAAUUAACCUGCGUUUCUGGGUCAUCCUUAAUGGUUAAUGAUUAAAAAGAUGAAGGGAGCCUUGGGAAGCAAUUGACUUUAGGCAUCUGUAUGUGCCAAGGAAAUGAAAUCCAUAACAAUAGCCAGAGCUAGAAAGGCUCCCCAAGGCCCAUGACACUCCUUCCACCUCAUGGCCCCUUUCUGUUUUCCAGCAAGGUCUUUGCAGGAGUUUGCCACUGUCCUCAGGAAUCUUGAAGAUGAACGGAUACGGAUGAUUGAGAAUGCCAGCGAGGUGCUCAUCACUCCCUUGGAGAAAUUUCGAAAGGAGCAGAUCGGGGCUGCCAAGGAAGCCAAAAAGAAGUAUGACAAAGAGACAGAAAAGUAUUGUGGCAUCUUAGAAAAACACUUGAAUUUGUCUUCCAAAAAGAAAGAAUCUCAGCUUCAGGAGGCAGACAGCCAAGUGGACCUGGUCCGGCAGCAUUUCUAUGAAGUAUCCCUGGAAUAUGUCUUCAAGGUGCAGGAAGUCCAAGAGAGAAAGAUGUUUGAGUUUGUGGAGCCUCUGCUGGCCUUCCUGCAAGGACUCUUCACUUUCUAUCACCAUGGUUACGAACUGGCCAAGGAUUUCGGGGACUUCAAGA